GGAGACUGAGGGAACAGGGAGUCCUGAAGCGGGUUCUAGGGUCCUGUGGAAGAAACAGUUUGUUCGCGUCUGCUCUCUUUCGCCUCCAGAACCUCCCCGGGGUCUGCCGGGAGGGCGGGGAUGGGGAGCACCGAGAGCACUCCCCGCAAGGUGUCUUUCGGGGUGGACGAGGAGGAGCGGGUGCGGGUGCUGCAGGGUAUCCGGCUCUCUGAAGAUGUAGUUAACCGCAUGAAGGACCCCUCUGCAUCAUCAAGGGUGCAGCGACCAUCUCCUGCACCGUCCCCUACUGCUUCGACACCUACUUCACCAUCUGCUGCUUCGUCACUUCAUACUUCACCACCUCCUCCUUCAUUUUCUCAUUCUUCAUCUUUUGCAUUUGGCUCUUCAGAAGGCAAGUCAAAGCAUCCUAGGACAGAUCCUAAACCCCCCAAAGCUGAGAGCCAGAGUAACAGGCAGCCCUCUGAAACAGAAGAGGAUCUGUACAGAAGAUAUGAACAAGAACAGGCCAUGAUCCAAGAAGAGCUGCUUCAGCUGGUGAAGAGAGAAAGGGAGGUGGCCAGGGAGCAUCCAAAGUCCUCCCUUCCAUGGGAGAAGAAUGGCAUGAACCAGGAGAAACAGCGAUCAGCCCAGCUGGCCAAAGAACUGGAAGGUGUAGAGGCAGAGCUAAGACGCCGUGACAUUUUCUAUAAAGAGCAAUUGGGUCGAAUUGAAAGAAAGAAUGCUGAAAUGUACAAACUGUCAUCACAACAAUUCCAUGAGGCAGCUACUCGGCUGGAGGACACAAUAAAACCUCGAAAGGCGGACCCCGUGUGCUCAGGCCUCCAGUCCGAGAUACUGCGCUGCUAUCGAGACAACCUUCGCGAGGUGCUUAAGUGCUCCGACUUGGUCAAGGCCUACCAGCACUGCGUGAGCACUGCCCAGAAGUAUAACAUGAAACAAGCUGCCAACCAUCCCUGAAGAAUCUUCAACAGACGGAGAUGGGGAAAAUUGUCAGGCUGUAUUAGACCAAAUGGUGGCUGAAGAACAACAACAUGCCUGGCGUGGAGAGAGCCCAACAGCAACAGGCACACUCCAGCGAAGUUACCACCUGCAAGGACCACAGAUCCCUGGUUCAUCACCCACAUUUCCAGCCAUUUACCAGUUUGUGACCAAGAAACAUCACUGUGCUUUGGGUUUAUCAUAGUUAAGAGUGACGUGUUAAGAAAAAGUGUAUGUUCACAGCUGCCCUGAGGAAAUAAAGCAGAUGUCUCUGUUUUCA